UACGAAGGGGGCUAGCGUUGUUCGGAAUUACUGGGCGUAAAGCGCACGUAGGCGGGUCGUUUAAGUCAGGGGUGAAAUCCCGGAGCUCAACUUCGGAACUGCCUCUGAUACAGCACGUCUUGAGUCCGGAAGAGGUGGGUGGAAUUCCUAGUGUAGAGGUGAAAUUCGUAGAUAUUCGGAAGAACACCAGUGGCGAAGGCGACUUACUGGACACAUAUUGACGCUGAGGUGCGAAAGCGUGGGGAGCAAACAGG
rnacentral:rRNA from 1 species